rnacentral:tRNA from 2 species
GCCUCGGUAGCUCAGUUGGUUAGAGCUCCCGCCUCUUAAGCGGAGUGUCGCUGGUUCGAGUCCAGCCCGGGGUACCA